CGGAGCAUGCGGCUUAAUUCGACGCAACGCGAAGAACCUUUACCAAGGCUUGACAUAUACAGGAAUAUGGCAGAGAUGUCAUAGCCGCAAGGUCUGUAUACAGGUGGUGCAUGGUUGUCGUCAGCUCGUGUCGUGAGAUGUUGGGUUAAGUCCCGCAACGAGCGCAACCCUCGUUCUGUGUUGCCAGCAUUUAGUUGGGGACUCACAGGAGACUGCCGGGGUUAACUCGGAGGAAGGUGGGGAUGACGUCAAAUCAUCAUGCCCCUUAUGUCUUGGGCUGCACGCAUGCUACAAUGGCUGGUACAAACGGCUGCAAUACCGCAAGGUGGAGCGAAUCCGAUAAAGCCAGUCUCAGUUCGGAUUGGGGUCUGCAACUCGACCCCAUGAAGUCGGAGUUGCUAGUAAUCGUAGAUCAGCAACGCUACGGUGAAUACGUUCCCGGGGCUUGUACACACCGCCCGUCACGUCACGAAAGUCGGUAACACCCGAAGUCAGUGGCCCAACCGCAGGGAG
rnacentral:rRNA from 1 species